AGCAGCCGCCGCGGGAAUACGAAGGGGGCUAGCGUUGUUCGGAUUUACUGGGCGUAAAGCGCACGUAGGCGGAUCGAUCAGUCAGGGGUGAAAUCCCAGAGCUCAACUCUGGAACUGCCUUUGAUACUGUCGAUCUGGAGUAUGGAAGAGGUGAGUGGAAUUCCGAGUGUAGAGGUGAAACUCGUAGAUAUUCGGAGGAACACCAGUGGCGAAGGCGGCUCACUGGUCCAUUACUGACGCUGAGGUGCGAAAGCGUGGGGAGCAAACAGGAUUAGAUACCCCCGUAGUCCCUGUCUCUUAUAC
rnacentral:rRNA from 1 species